CCCCAAGACUAGGAAAUUGACCAGUUGCCGGAAUCUACUGUAACUCGAACACUAUAGACCAGCCCUGUAAAACCACCUUCUCCAGACACGUGGCGUUGUCGAUGUAACAGAUUUGACAUGUUAACCUUUUAGUUUUUUUUCUGAUGGGACCCUUUCACAAAACGCCAAAACCCAUCAGCCCACAGUAUCUCGCAGCCGUCUGAUCAAAUCUAAGAUCCAGAUUCACUCUAAAAUCAUGGAUAAAAGACGCAGAGAAUAAGACAGGGAAGGAACAGUAAAUUGGGUGCGCAGAUUACCAAAGAGUCAAAGUAAACAGUAAAAUUUGUUAGCUGGCUGCAAUUCCAAAAUUCAAAUUUAUUUACCCAUUUUGAAUACUUUCUGGAUAUUGUGCAAAUUCCAAUAUUUUAUUGGCUUAUUUGGUAGAUAAAUUGGGACUACACACGGGUGAAGGAUCUGUACAGCUAAUAUUAGGUAGGUGAGACCUGGCUAGAAUUAUCCAUUUUGAGUCCAGUUGUGUUGCACCUACAUGCAUACUAUUUUGAGCCCCUGUUU
rnacentral:lncRNA from 1 species